GAAAGUUUCAGUAUUUGGAGAUUUAUGAUGAAGAAACGAUCAAUAGCCAAAAAGAACAGGACUUCCCCAUUGACAUCAUUAUAAAUUACAAUAAUUAGCUAGCAAUCUUCUCAAAAUACAAGGAUCCAAAUCAUGAGUUCCUCCACAAUCGAAGCUCCACCGAUUCAAACUAUGAACUCCGAAGAAGACGACACUGAAACAAAGACAUCAGAAGUUUUUGCCCCAUGUUGUCCAAACUGCAGCGGCGAUUGCACUGGAUGUGAAGGAGAUUGCACUUGCCCAUCAGAAUGUGAAAUGGGUGUCGUAUGUUUGGAAGUUUUUGGUUCAUGCUAGCAUUUUAUUAUGAUCUCAGCUCAUGUUUCUUCUCCAAUGCUCCGUUUGUUGUUUCCAUUGUCAAAAGUUUUUGUAAUACAAUAACAAUAAUGUAUAUUGAGUAUACAUAACUUAAAUGUUAUUUUCUUUUCGAUUUAGAAUUUUA